UUGAUCAUGGCUCAGGAUGAACGCUAGCUACAGGCUUAACACAUGCAAGUCGAGGGGCAGCAUGAUCAAAGCUUGCUUUGAUUGAUGGCGACCGGCGCACGGGUGAGUAACGCGUAUCCAACCUUCCCUAUAGUAGAGGAUAGCCCGGCGAAAGUCGGAUUAAUACUCUAUGUUUUCCAAUGCAGACAUCUAAAAUGGAACAAAGGUUUACCGCUAUAGGAUGGGGAUGCGUCUGAUUAGGUUGUUGGCGGGGUAACGGCCCACCAAGCCUACGAUCAGUAGGGGUUCUGAGAGGAAGGUCCCCCACAUUGGAACUGAGACACGGUCCAAACUCCUACGGGAGGCAGCAGUGAGGAAUAUUGGUCAAUGGGCGAGAGCCUGAACCAGCCAAGUAGCCGUGCAGGAUGACGGCCCUAUGGGUUGUAAACUGCUUUUAUAUAGGGAUAAAGUGACCCACGUGUGGGUUUUUGUAGGUACUAUAUGAAUAAGGACCGGCUAAUUCCGUGCCAGCCGCCGC
rnacentral:rRNA from 1 species